CCCGCACAAGCAGCGGAGCGUGUGGUUUAAUUCGAAGCAACGCGAAGAACCUUACCAGGUCUUGACAUCCCUGACAACCCGAGAGAUCGGGCGUUCCCCUUCGGGGGACAGGGUGACAGGUGGUGCAUGGUUGUCGUCAGCUCGUGUCGUGAGAUGUUGGGUUAAGUCCCGCAACGAGCGCAACCCUCGACCUUAGUUGCCAGCAUUCAGUUGGGCACUCUAAGGUGACUGCCGGCUAAAAGUCGGAGGAAGGUGGGGAUGACGUCAAAUCAUCAUGCCCCUUAUGACCUGGGCUACACACGUGCUACAAUGGGCGGUACAAAGGGUCGCGAACCCGCGAGGGGGAGCCAAUCCCAAAAAGCCGCUCUCAGUUCGGAUUGCAGGCUGCAACUCGCCUGCAUGAAGCCGGAAUCGCUAGUAAUCGCGGAUCAGCAUGCCGCGGUGAAUACGUUCCCGGGCCUU
rnacentral:rRNA from 1 species